CGGGAAAUCUGGGUCGUGACACUCGAAGUCCAUGUUCCUAUAUUAUGAGAAAUGCAAAAGAUACUUAUUAAAAUACAAACAAAGACGAUAGAAGAAUUUGAUUAAGCCACGAGGAAAUAGUUUCCUGACCACUUACAAUUUGAAUAGAAGAAAGGAAAGAUAUAAUUUAGUAAGGAAAAAAGAAAAGAGAAAGAUACAAUUUAUAAGAGAUUCCUAUACUAUUAAAAAUAAAAUAAAAAGAUCACUUAUUAAGUACGAAUGAAGGCACUAAACGAAUUUGAUGAAGUCAUAUCUCUAUCAAAUACAUCUAAACUAAAUAUAUAAACAAAGAAACACUUCAUCCAUGAGAAAUGAAAUCGCUUACGGGUUCUCGUUUGCAGUUUCUCCGGUCAUGGUUCUGUAUUAGUGAAGCAAAUGUGGUGAUUGAUUUUGCCUUCACUUUCCCUCUCCCAUAACUACGCUAGAAAAGCAAAAAAGUUACAAAUUAAGAAGAAUUGUCUGCUGAUAAAUUACAUUUAUUUAAUAGAGAGCAAUUUAUAAGAUUAAACAAUAGAGGGUGAUCAUACAUGGAUAAAAUGAGGGGACACAACGAAUAUAAAAGUAGUCUAAACAGGGAAAUUAAUAUGCAUUAGUUGUUCAAUCAUAGAAACGGUUGGUUUUCUAAUUAAGAGGUGUAUUUAGGAGGUGUCUUCUGGGUUGUUUAGGAGGUCUAUAGCAUAAAUGUCGAUUGAUGCUUGAUAUUUCUGUUUAAAGUCAAAAGUUUAUGGUUUAGUACUUGUAUAGUAUGCUUAUCAUUUUUGAAUUUCAAAUAAAGCAAUAUCAUGAUCCAUUACAUAAUACAGAUACCGUUGUCUGCUCUAUAUUCCGCUAAAGAGAACUUUUUUCAUGUCGUGCAAAUUGACUUCGCGUGGCACCAAGGAGAACAAUAGAAGUCAUAUAUGUAUAUAUAUAAACCUUAAGCUACAUUUCUUGAUUCAAAGAGUAGACUUAGACUGUUAGAGGGUAUUAUUCUCAUACUAAUAACCAUUUUUCUUGUAGUGAUAGUUUCUCUGUCAUUGUACAGUAUACAUGCAUUCACAAGAAAAGAGUAGCCGAAAAGACCUAGCUAUUACGUUGAACUUAUCAGUUAAGAUAAAUGGCAUGCGGGACUAUCUGAUUCAACUUAAUCUUACAUUGUCAACCAGAUAAAUAGUAAAAGGAUUUAUAACUAUCUAAUCAAUAGUGUACUCUAGCAGCUAUUCAAAAUUGUGUAACGUCCCUUAUUAUAAAAGAUAAAAAGCACAUGCAAAAAGGAAAUAUAAGAAAUGAUAUUAAGUGCUGGCAUAUACGAAAAUCAAGGUAGCAUACCUGAUGACAAAGUAUUUACAUGGAAUUCAUAGUCCAUUCGUUAGGAACUUUCUCUAUAAAAUUUCAAUCAAAUAGAUACAAACGCCUUAAGUCCCUCGGCUUACUCAUUUUCUCAAAACUAAUGACGGGCUCAUCAACAGAAAUACCUUUCCUCAUGAUAGCAUCCCUUUAUAGCCAUUCAGGUUUUAUUUUAGUUACAAUUGUUUAUUCACACAGAUGUUUAAUGUGCAGUUACAAACACUGGGUCAGUUACAGACCUUUGGGCUUAUUCAAUAAAAGUAAUAAAUGUUGUUAUCCAGAUAUUAAUUAUUUGACGAAGAGAAAAGAACUAAUACAUUAAAUGCAUUUGGACAAAUUUGUUCUGUAAAAACAAAAUGGCUUGGAGAUAUAUAUUAUCCGAAAGAUGUGUACUUAACAAAAGAAGAAUGGGAAAUAAGUGGAAAAUGUCAAAAAAAUGAGAAAAAAAAAAAGAUAAAUGGCAAUCCUAGUCUAAGAGAUGUGCCAAAUCAACAUUUGUUUUUCCUCUUUUAUAUAUGUAUAGAUUUGUCAAAUUUGAAGCUCUAACUGGAUUUGUCAAAUUUGAGAGGAGGAGAGAAAGAAGAAAGGAGAUAGAAAGGAAGUAGGAAAAAGGUGCCCUUAAUUGAAGGCGUUAAUGCUUAAUUGAAUGAGAUCAACUCACAAAUUAUACAAAUAAUUCAGUUAGCUUUAGUAAUUAGCAACUUUUGAUGAACAAGGUAAAAUAGUUUGUAUUUCGUGUAUAUAUGAAGAAAAGAAUUCCGUUAAAAACAUCCAUAAACUUCAAAAUUUUGAGUUAAUUUCUUGGAUGGUCACCCAAGUUUGGGAAUAUCCUAAUAAAGUCAAUUUUAUUUUAUUUAGGACAACAAUGUCACCCAACAAUUGUCUUUUGACUCAACAAUUGUCUUUUGACUCACAAAAUAAAAGCACAUAUCUAAUAUAUUGUCACACCUCCUUUUACACACCCGAGGAUAGUACAAGGGAAUUUUUCCAAUUUAAGUGACAUUAUUCGAAAUGGGAUUAUUUAUUUGAUUUUAAGAGUCUCCACUUGGAAUAUUUUUAUUGGUGUCCCAAGUCACAGGUUUAUUUUAAAUCCCAAAUCGAGGAAAAUUCGAUUUUCCUUUUGAAGUCUGCGAACCAGAAAUUUUAAAUAAGGAAUUCUGUUAACCCGGGGGAAGGUGUUAGGCAUCCCCGAAUUCCGUGGUUCUAGCACGAUCACUUAAACUAUUACAAUUGGCCUAUUAUCUGAUUUUAAUACAUUUUUUAACCUAUGGUACAAUUUUAACUUAUUAACCGCUUUUAAAUUAUUUUUAGGAAGAUUCAACGUUAUUUAAAAUAUGCCUUGAACCACGCCACAUGAAAUGCACCUGCGAUCCGCGACAUUUUUUUUUUAACGUUGUUGAGAAUUGCAGUUGGGUCACAUGAAAUGCACACUCGAGUUUAAGAAAAUUAAUUUAAAUUAUGCGCCUAAAGCAACUACGCACUUUCAAGUUUGCGAGGGCCAUAGAAAAUUCACUAAUGGCACACCUCUAUUUCUAAAGAGUUAAAAUUAAUUAAGUGAGAGCCAUGAGUUUUGAGAUUUUAUUUGGCAUGGCACGCCUCGAAUUAUUCUAUUAAAAGAAUUUCUAAAUUUAGUUUUAAGGGCCAUAACUAUUGGUGUUAUUUAAUAUGGCACACCUCAACUAAUUAAAGGACCCAGCUAAUUGAUUAAAGGACUAAGGAAUUUCCAAUUUAUUUUAAAGCGAAUGUUUAAGCUCAAUUUUCAUAACCAGUGAACUAACAGUAAAUGAAACCAAAGUUGGGUUGUUGAAGGGGCCUAAGAUGGCUAUGGGCCCAAUUGCCAAUUGCUGGUUCUACGACAAAACAAGAACACCAUUGGGCUUAACAUGAAGCCCAGAUCAAGAAUCUAAUUGCAAAGGGAGGGGGAAAUUUGGCACAACUGGGCCAACACUAACAGCCCAGUUUGGGGUUUCAGCACUAACAUUUGAGGCAAACUACACUUUUCCAUGAAAAUCUUUGAAUCUGAACAAAUAUUGACGAUCUCAAACAUAUGUAAAGCAUAUUUGAAUGCCAACAUACAUUCUAUAAUGAAGAUGUGAUGCCUAAUGUGAUAACAAUUCGUACGCAGAUCAUUUAUUUAACAUCACCAACUCAAAUUUCCAGCAAGAAAGAAAACCAAUCUAUAAUUUCGAAAAAAAGACGAGACUUUAUUUAUUAACAUGUACUUGGAACUGUCCAACUCUAAACCUUGAAAAGAAAACAAGCACUGGUUGAUUUCAUCGAGAACCAAAUAAGAGAUUUUUCUAUAUUGCAACAUAGAAUAUUUCAUGCUCAAAGAACAACCAAUCUUCUACAUCUUAAGGUCAAAACUACUACUAAUCAUCAUUGAAAACUAAAACACUUAGUGAAUCUACCAUAGAGUAUUAUAACCAUUCACCCCAAUUGGUCUUACUAUCAAAACAUAACUAGCUUUUUUACUUCAGUUCCCAUCAGAAUACUUGAUAGGAUUUCAAAAUAUAUGCAUAUGCUUGGUAACAUAGAUUCAACAGGAAAUUCUCAAUCAAAUCCCAUGUAUCAAUCAGCUAAUCAAGAAAGAGUUCUAAUCCUAUAUCGACUUCUUCAUACUUACAUAUAGGAAAAAUCAACAGUCCUCAUAUUUAAACAAUAUUCCAGUCCCUUUAACAAACCAAUCAGCUAAAUAAAAGUAUCUACCUAAAGUUUUCAAAACUCAAAGAGAAUUAGCAACAAAAUGAUCAAAUGUACACCUAACAGGAAACUAAAACUAACUGCAGAAUCGACUAAUUUCAAGAGUGCAGAAGACAACAUUGAAUAAACUGAUGUGUCAUAGAUUUUCAGCUCAAACCAAACAACUUCAUGUUCUUCAAUUUCACAUGUCAACGAAAUAUAGUGAAUACCUGGCUACAACAACAAAACAACAAGGAAAAAUGAUCUGGGAGUUUAAGAAGCAACAGCAGCAAAGUAUCAGCAGCUAAAGCAGCCAAACAAUCAGCAAAUACUCAGCCUUUUGACCCAGCUUCGAACCCAAAAUCAAUACAACUUUUAGAGCUUUUGAAAAAUCUGACUAACAGUGAACUUAAGGAGCAGGAACCAAUUCUAGGCAAAUUUCAGUAUUUUAGCGUCUAGAAGAAGCUUAGUUGUUCCUAAAGUUUUUUAGUAUUUUUCAAUCUCUAAAUUCUAACUUGGAAGUGAAGAAAUAAACCUUUAUAGUGAAGUUUUAGGGCAGCAGAAAUAAGUUCAGUUUUUGC
rnacentral:lncRNA from 1 species